GACGAACGCUGGCGGCGUGCUUAACACAUGCAAGUCGAACGGUAAGGCCCUUCGGGGUACACGAGUGGCGAACGGGUGAGUAACACGUGGGUGAUCUACCCUGCACUUCGGGAUAAGCCUGGGAAACUGGGUCUAAUACCGGAUAGGACCACUGCCUGCAUGGGUGGUGGUGGAAAGCUUUUGCGGUGUGGGAUGGGCCCGCGGCCUAUCAGCUUGUUGGUGGGGUGAUGGCCUACCAAGGCGACGACGGGUAGCCGGCCUGAGCGGGUGACCGGCCAUACUGGGACUGAGAUACGGCCCAGACUCCUACGGGGGGCAGCAGUGGGGAAUAUUGCACAAUGGGCGGAAGCCUGAUGCAGCGACGCCGCGUGAGGGAUGACGGCCUUCGGGUUGUAAACCUCUUUCAGCACCGACGAAGCGCAAGUGACGGUAGGUGCAGAAGAAGGACCGGCCAACUACGUGCCAGCAGCCGCCGCCGUAA
rnacentral:rRNA from 1 species